rnacentral:lncRNA from 1 species
AGAGGUGGCGGAGCUGGGACUCAGACCUGACGGUCCUGUGGCUGUGAACCCCCGCCUCCCCAGUCCUCUGACGGUGUCCCCUCUAAGGAUACCUGAUACCUGGAGGGGCCAGCUGCCCCUCCUCUGUGAAAUGCACUGUGUUGCGGGGAGCGGCGAGGGGGACACAGGCCUCCGGGUGGAGCCUCCUGUGUCCUCAAAUGGGCAGGUCUUGUGCCCAUCACUCUGGCACAUCCAUCCACACCCCUGGAAAUGGUCGCCAAGCCCUCCUGCCUGAACUCCCACGCUGGAUGCCAAGCCUGAACGCAUCGCUUUCCAGGACGCCUUUGAAGCUGUGAGCCCACCUGGGGGUCCCCGCCAGGCAGGAAAUAUUGAGAUGGAAGAGGAGGAUGCUGGGGGUGCCCAGGGCGGCAGGACGCCACAGACCGGAGGGAAGCAGACCUAGCCAGGCCUUCCCGACCCUCGGGCACCGCGCCCCACCCCCACUGCCGGCAGUAGGGGGCCUCGCGGCCCCUCCGCAAGGUAAUGGGGUCCAGCGCAUAAGAGGCAGCCGGAGGCUGGCAUGCUGGAGGGCGCACUGCGGCCAUCGGCCCGCUUCUGGCUGGCCCGCCGCCGGGAAGCCUCCUCUGCAUCUUCCGCAGUGCCGGCCCUGCUUUGUGACUCUGGCCCCGCUGUGACAGGCAGAGAUGACGGCCUGUCACCUCCCGCCAUGCUCAGGACAGAGGACGUGCCCACAGCAGAGCUGAGUGACGGGACCACGUCAGUUCUUUCUGGGAGUUCGUUUCCACCACGCGCGUCCAGAACCCCACCUGAGCCAUCAUCCCCUCCCCGGCGGGGUGCCCGGCCCAUCGACCCCUCCCCUGUCAGGGUGCCCAGCCCGUCCCUUCUCACCAAGGCCCUGAACCAGUUCUGGCGGGGUUGCUCCUGGCCAGAACCCGCAGGGCCCGUGACCACUGGGGCCGCAUCGAACCUCUUGGCCCAACAAGGCGCCAAGACCCGCCCAGGGCGGCCUUCAGGCCUAGCCCUGGGUCUCCAGCCGGCUGGGCCCUCACGGGCCUGACGCACGCCUCCUCCUCUGGCCCCUGCAUCUCCGCUGCUUCCAGUGAUCAGAGCCUUCCCAAGCCAGUCUCUCCUCCCAGAAGCCUCCCAGGCCCUCCCCAGGCCUCCCUGGGGACCUGUGACACCUGCCCCGCCCCCUUGCCCCAGCCUCCCAGCAGACCUAGUCCCUCCCAGACCCUGGGGCGGCAGCAGCCCCACCCCUGCUGGAGCCAGGGGCGCAUGUGGGCCCUGCCCAUCCGUCUGUCUGGGGAAGGGGGGGCCUGUGGGGAGGGGCCUGGCAAGAGCAGAGCUCCCAGCGGGCACGCCUGUCCUGGGCCUGAAGGGCUGCUGACAGGAGGCAUCUGGUUUCCAGGGACAGGCGGUCGAGGGCGAUGGCACCUGUCAGCAUUUCUGCCCUUCAGCGUGAGCCGAGGCAGGGCCCGCAUGUCUGGGGGAGCUGGCCAGACUCCUCCCCGCUGGGCUGCAGGAGUCUGCCAGCUGAGACCUGCUGCCCAGGCUGGGGGCUUCCUGGGCAUGCGUCCCCUGUCUCGCCCAACCAGACUGGCCUUGGAGCUGGGAGGCCCCUUGUCCCGAGGCCAGGGUGGGGUUCCACCAACAGAGCAUGGUCUGCACACUCAGCACCCCAAGAACACAGGUGCCAACCUGUGCCCUGCCCUGGCUGUGCAGCCUUGGCCAGGUGGCCAGCCCUCCUGGUCCUGCUUCCACGUCUGGAAAACGGGAGCAGUGGUGUGAGGUGGGGCCCUCAGCACAGAGCUUCCCCGGAAGCAGGUGCCCUCCCCCCAUUAGGGUCCGCUGUCCCCUCCCUCCUCCUGCCCUCCCCCGCCCCUCCUGGAUGGCUUUCCUUCGGGGCACCACGUCUGAGCCCCUUGCAGGUGCCCCAGCAUCGACUGCUGCCCAGGGACCAGCCUGAGGGUCCGGCCAGCAGGGAGGCCGGGCGGCAUCGGGAAGCCCACGGCCUGAAGGCCCACGGAGGGAUCUCAGAGGCAGCCCGGAUCCUCCAGCUGGACACCUGGCGACCAGAGGCCAGUGUCCUCCUGGGCCUGCUUCUCAGGGACAACCUGCCCCCUCCGUGUCCCGCCUCGGAGAGGAUUCAGAUGGAUGUGAGUUUGGGGGCGUGGGGGUCCUGCUCCCCUUCCCCGCUUCUCACCAGGAAAGAGAACGAGGUCUCCCGCCCCUCCUGCUGCGAGGCCUUCCCCACAGGAGAACUUACAGACUCUUGUUGUCCCUGGAAGGUAUCUCACUGAGACCCCACAUUCAAAACCCUGCCCUUCUAAAGCUCCUUGAGGAGUUCUGGCCCCGGGGUGACCCCAGUGGGGUCUGCGGUUUCUGUGUCCGGGUGGCAGGGGUGCCUUUCUUAUCUUUCCUGACCUGGUGAGCUGGUGAGGCUCCUGGGCAAGCCCCUCCCCUCCCUCCCCCACCGGCAGCGCCUUUACCAGAUCCACUUUGCUGACGCCUCGGUCCUCGGGGAAAAUACAAGAAGCGCCCCCGUGGCUGCCUGUCUGCCGACAAAGACUCUCUUCAGCCUUCUCCCGACACGGACCUGGCCNNNNNNNNNNNNNNNNNNNNNNNNNNNNNNNNNNNNNNNNNNNNNNNNNNNNNNNNNNNNNNNNNNNNNNNNGGGUCCUUGUAGGCUUCUCCGCGUGGCCUCACAGGCGGGACCAAGCUGCUAAGGCCACGUGGGUCCCUACCUUGUUGGACGGUGCUGGCCCCUCCUUGGGAAGGGCCGGCCUGCCUCCACCUGCCAUCAGUGCCCCCGCCUCAGCCGUCGGUCCCUCCUGGGAUGCCGGCCCGUCGGUGACGCGAGCCGUGGAACCUCCGUGCUGUUUGGCGUCACUUUUUUUUGGACAAGAGCAGAUGGGGCAUCUUUUCUCCUCUUGAAGAGGCGUUCACCUUGUUUCCUCUUACAAGCCCUGGUCGCCGUCUUCCCGCGCUUUCCCCUGGAUGGCUGGACCUGGCUCCCGGGAACAUCUGGCUCCUGGGGACUUUUUAGCCGGCACCUGUGCUGCCAGCUCACCAACCUGGGGGUCUCCCCCUCCCCGCCUCCAGCCCUGACUUUCUGUCUCGAGAUUCGUCUCUUUCGAACACGGCAUACCCUGAGGUCGUGCCUAAGUGGUUUGUGUGACUGUCCCUGCAGUGUUUUCGAGGCUCAUCCAUUCAGACCAGCCCGUCGCCCCUUCUUACUGCCAGAUAAUAGCCCAUCCAGUGAUGGAAGUUGAGCUGCAAAGAAAAAAUAUUU